rnacentral:misc_RNA from 1 species
AAGUCGUAACAAGGUUUCCGUAGGUGAACCUGCGGAAGGAUCAUUAACACAUCCCUGAUAUAUAUAUGUGUAUUCAUAUACAUACAUAUAACAAUUACUAACUAUUUGUCGCACCCAUCUAUUUCUUUGUACUGUCAAUCGACGAGCUCUUAAAUUGUUUUCGUCUGGAUAAGGUAUUCCCUCUGCGGAAUACGACAAAACAAUCCAUCGUCGUUUGCUUCAGUCAACAGCUUCUUAUCCUGGCUGGCCAAUGUUGUUUUCUUUUACACCUAUUCAAUCUAUCUCUAUCUAUCAAUCGAUCUCCAUCAUUGGACGUCGUAUUGGUUGGUUCCUUCCUAGGAACUAGUAUUGUUAAUUCUAUUAACAACUCUUAACAGCGGAUAUCUUGGUUCUC